AGAGUUUGAUCCUGGCUCAGGAUGAACGCUAGCUACAGGCUUAACACAUGCAAGUCGAGGGGAAACGAUAUUGGAAGCUUGCUUCCGAUAGGCGUUGACCGGCGCACGGGUGAGUAACGCGUAUCCAACCUGCCCAUCACUUGGGGAUAACCUUGCGAAAGUAAGACUAAUACCCAAUGACGUCUCUAGAAGACAUCUGAAGGAGAUUAAAGAUUUAUCGGUGAUGGAUGGGGAUGCGUCAGAUUAGCUUGUUGGCGGGGUAACGGCCCACCAAGGCUACGAUCAGUAGGGGUUCUGAGAGGAAGGUCCCCCACAUUGGAACUGAGACACGGUCCAAACUCCUACGGGAGGCAGCAGUGAGGAAUAUUGGUCAAUGGACGAGAGUCUGAACCAGCCAAGUAGCGUGCAGGAUGACGGCCCUAUGGGUUGUAAACUGCUUUUAUAAGGGAAUAAAGUGAGCCUCGUGAGGCUUUUUGCAUGUACCUUAUGAAUAAGGACCGGCUAAUUCCGUGCCAGCAGCCGCGGUAAUACGGAAGGUCCGGGCGUUAUCCGGAUUUAUUGGGUUUAAAGGGAGCGUAGGCCGGAGAUUAAGCGUGUUGUGAAAUGUAGACGCUCAACGUCUGCACUGCAGCGCGAACUGGUUUCCUUGAGUACGCACAAAGUGGGCGGAAUUCGUGGUGUAGCGGUGAAAUGCUUAGAUAUCACGAAGAACUCCGAUUGCGAAGGCAGCUCACUGGAGCGCAACUGACGCUGAAGCUCGAAAGUGCGGGUAUCGAACAGGAUUAGAUACCCUGGUAGUCCGCACGGUAAACGAUGGAUGCCCGCUGUUGGUCUGAAUAGGUCAGCGGCCAAGCGAAAGCAUUAAGCAUCCCACCUGGGGAGUACGCCGGCAACGGUGAAACUCAAAGGAAUUGACGGGGGCCCGCACAAGCGGAGGAACAUGUGGUUUAAUUCGAUGAUACGCGAGGAACCUUACCCGGGCUUGAAUUGCAGAGGAAGGAUUUGGAGACAAUGACGCCCUUCGGGGCCUCUGUGAAGGUGCUGCAUGGUUGUCGUCAGCUCGUGCCGUGAGGUGUCGGCUUAAGUGCCAUAACGAGCGCAACCCCUCUCCUUAGUUGCCAUCAGGUUAAGCUGGGCACUCUGGGGACACUGCCCCCGUAAGGUGUGAGGAAGGUGGGGAUGCCGUCAAAUCAGCACGGCCCUUACGUCC
rnacentral:rRNA from 1 species